GAUGGUGUCAUGAGACAUGUCAUGGACUCUCUGACACCUCCUAAGACAUCACAGCUGCCUAUUAUGUCAGAACAUGGUCCAUCAUGGUCCAACAUUUGAGAUGAAUAGCCCAGGCUAGAUGUGUCUUCGUGUAUCUUCGAGGUUCCCCGGAGGGAUUUUUACAGCAGAGUCAUCAUGCAAGGGAGGACAUUGGCAUGAUAAGAAGGAUUAUCCUAUCUCACAGUGUAAGAGGCAUGUUUUACAGAUGCUAGAUGAGGCACCCUGGGAGAUGUAGUCCCGAAUGUACUCCAAUGCACAUGGGCAGGGAGAUACCCCAUGGUGAUUAAUCAAAGCAGUCAGGUGUUGCUUUGAAGUGCAUAUAAAAGGUGUUGUUUGCUUCCAAUAAAUGGAUCUGGUUGUUGGAACCCCAAUCAGCCAGGUCGUAUGGAUUUAUUUAUUUAUUAUAUUAAUAAAGGCACAUCUGGCACCCAGAACUGGGGCAUUCCCUGUAACAGGGAAGAUUAGAGACUGCCUUGAAACAAGGAGAAUUACGGUAGCAUUCGCAGGAGCCUGUUUUAAAGCUGAGGAACAUUUUUCCGGAAAAAAAGCGAGGAAGUCGCAUACUGAGCUAAAAUUGGGUGGAGGACGUCAUUAAAGAAAACAUGUCAGAUACCAGUGGGAAAGCCGACUGGGACGUCGUGCUGCAGGGACUGCAUUGGGAGCUCCGAGAAUCUGAGUUUUGUGCGCACAGGAGACCUGGCAGAGUGAAAGAAAGAAAAAGCAAAGCUACAGUAGAGCCCAGGUAAGAAGUCAGCAUGAGAAGUUUAAGGGAAAUAGACAUAAAUGCAAAAGCAUUGAGGCAAUAUUUAAGAGAAACCACACAAACCAAGCUGGUCGGACCAUUAAAAUGGAUAGAAAUAACUAUAUCAGGAUUUCUGCUAAGCAGAAUCCUUAGUGUGACUGCUUGGAAAAAAUUUGGAGAGAUAGCUCGAGAGAAAGCAAAGAUGGAAGAUGUGGACACCUUAAAAAUCUCACAAAGAAACUCAAACUUGUUCAAAACUUGAAACCUCCUGUUCCCCCCCACGAGCCCUAACAGGCAAAGAACUCCCCCAGACACCGGGAACAGACACAGGGCUGGGGAGAACCGCGUGCAGACCGAGAGAACCCAACAAUGGACUUGGGCUGGGUUUUGCGCGGGCAGGAGAGAGCACGUGGCGCGGGCCGCGUGGUUGUUGGGGAGAGACAGACUUUGAGUCCCAGAGCCACUGCCGAGUUGCAGCCACGCUGAGGGUUGGGUGUGACCAUCCUGCCCAUGACCAGCUUACACCAGGGGCGAGUCGGGUUUGCGCCCUCCAAAAAAAGACAGGCAGUCGUGCAGCGCACGGACGGAGACGUAGCCCUAUGCCCGCUGCCUCUGCGCUGUUAAAAGAGCCUGUUGGACCUGCUGCGCUCCCCAGAAACAGUGCCAAAAUUCCCCAAAAAGCGCCAGCUACAACGCCGGCGGGCGAGCGAAGCGGCGCGGGGUUUGCACAGGCACUUGCCGCAGCACUUAUCAGCUGAGGCGGUGUGGAGUUCAAAGAGACGCCGGGGGCAGCUGAGAGUCGGCGCAGGGCUCUGGGUCCCCUGCAGCCGGAGCGCAGACCCGACCCGACCCGGCUCGGCACGGCGGGGCGCCGCCGGCGGCAGUUUCACCAGCACCUGAAGCGGACGAGCGAAGGCUGCCGAGGCCGUGCCCGGAGCUGUGCCAGGUCCCUGCCGUGCCGCGGCCCGCACGGAGCCCCGGCGGGGGGAAGACAGGCGGUGGGGGUGUGUGUCUUGCCUCGCUGCAAAAUCCCCCCCAGCGCCGCCCGCACCAUGCUGGGCAGCGGCGGCAACAGAGCAAGCGCAGGGACACGGCCAGGCGAGUGCAGCCCGGGGCCGCGGCGGCGGCGGCUGCGCGGGGCACGCCAGGCCGGGACGGGACGUGGCGGGGCGCAGAGCAGCGGUUUGCGGAGCCGUGGCAGGACCGGGGCGGCAGCAAGUCCCUUGUACGGGUCAAAAUAGGCGGCGAACCGCGAAACGGCCGCGCGACGGCACACGGGAAAAAGCAGCGCAACAGAUGGGAGUAGACGCCGCUGCAGCUCUGCAGGGAGCGCGCAGCGCCAGGGCCGGGAGGAACGGCCCCCGCCCCUUGUGCUGGGACGGAGAGAGGCUGUGCUGCAGCUGUCUGAACGGGCUCUGGCACAGCCCAACCCCACAGCUACAGCGUCAUGCUGUGUGCCUCCCGAGAGACAUACACAACUAAUUUAACAUUAUAUCUUGUUGUCUCAAGGACCUUUGGUAAGAACACUGAAGCUUUGAGUUUUUUCCUAUUUUUCAUUAGUUCCCCAGUGGCCUUGUUUAAAUUGUUAAGGAUAAAAGUUGUUAAAGUUAAGUUUUCAAAUGCAUCUGAACAGAUGGAGUUGUUGUGACAAUGUAGUUCAAAUAACGUGUUUAAAAACUUCAUAAAUUAUCCCAGAAAGGUGUGCAUAGUGUCAGCAAAAGUACAAAAAUAGCUGCUUAAGAGAUUGAGUUAAAGCUAACUAUAAUUGUUCUAACCAAUAUCAUUCAAGAAAUAGGACUGCAAAAUGCUCCAGAAAAAAUUCAUCAACUCAACCAUGGAACAAAUCUACCAUAAAGAAAGGAUUGCACAGCAAAAAGAUCACCUUUCAACCUUCAACUUUGAGGUAAAAGACAUUAAAAGACAUUAAAAUGACUUAUAGCUUUACUUCAAAAAAAGCCAUUCCUGGACAUAACUACAAAAAAACGUAUAUUUACCUAACCUUCAUAUCUGUUUUUUGCCAUAGUAUCCACCUGAAACUGUCUAAAUUUUUAUUAACAUAUUUGUUAAGUUUGUUACUAAGGGCAAAAGCAGCUACCAGAAACGGAUGGACAAAACCUGGAAAAUUAACUGCAUCCCAGACACCAAAGACAACUUGGUCUAGUUGCUUACAUAAGAUGCUGAGUUUCAAGCUGUGUUAGCAGAUUUUAAUGGUAACUUGUUUAUGUAUCUUUGAAUUCAUUAACUUUUGAUUUUCUAAACAAAACUCACUCAUAAAACAGACCAUUGUCAAGAGAGCACAUUACAUGCCAAAUAUGUGUUUCAUAAAAACAAAAAAAAAAGGGGGGAGAAAAUAUGGAUCUCUUUAUGUGUUGAACCUGCAUUGACUUUUCCUCGAAACAGAGAUGAGCACCAGAGAGAGUGAUUGAUGGAGGUGAGCCAAAAGAAAAACACAUAAUUAAUGACUGCUGGUAAACAUAAACCAAAUGAUUGAAAAGUAGGAACACAAUAAAAAUUCUAAGUAUGCAUGAGUAAAGAAUGACUGAAGUGGCCACUUACAUAUGAAUGUAAAAGCUGUAUAAAAGCGAAAAGCUGUGUGGACAUAUAUGUGUGUAAACUUAAAGAUACUUUAUGCUUCGUGGGCUUUGAAUAGAUUACACUUGCAUAACACAACACCUGUUCUACAUAAACUCUCAAAAAAAAAUUAAGUUGAUGCUUCUACCAAUUACAUAAACCCUUAGACAAAUAAAGGUCAAUGUUUCUUGUUCAUCCCAGUUACAUAAGUACCACCCAGUUUCAUAAAGAACCCUCAGAUCAAUAAAGUUGUUGUUUAUCCCAAUUACACACAAACCCUUAAGAAAAUAAGGGUUCAAGUUUAUGUCAAGCAAAUUCAAAGGUUAAAGCUUCAAAUAAAGCUUUCAGUUUGUUGAAAAACCAAGGUAAGCAGUGAGUCGACUUGCUGUGUUACAGUGGUAAUUGUUAAAGGUUUUACAAGGUUUAAAAUGUAAUGCUCUGUUAUAUGCACUGUUCUCUAAUUCGUCAUAAUAAUACAAACAGGGGACAAGUAGGAGGUGUGUUUUAGGGGUGCUAGAUGAGGCACUCUGGGAGUUGUAGUCCCAAAUGUACUCCAAUGCACAUGGGCAGUAAGAUACCCCAUGGUGAUUAAUCAAGGCAGUCAGGUGUUGUUUUGAAGUGCAUAUAAAAGGCAUUGUUUGCUUCCAAUAAACAGAUUUGGUUGUUGGAACCCCAACCAGCUGGAUCAUAUGCAUUUAUUUAUUUAUUAUAUUAAUAAAGCCAUAUCACAGGAUUUGUCUCUUCUCAGCCUCUUCCCUUGUCUGGAAAUCCAGUUUGUAGCUUCAGGUACCCUCAUACUCUUCUGCACCUGGGAUAGUUGGACAACGGCAGCCACUUAUCCUUUUAAAGCCCAGGUGGGGGUAGGAUUUUCUGGAUGAGCAGCUGUUUUUUUGUAAUUUGACAAAAGUCUUAGCAAUGUUUAAGCCAUUAACCACUUCAGUCUCUGAUACUUGAAGUAUACAAUUGAUGUGCUACAGGUCACCAAUUAGAUAUUUGCUUUUCUAGAGGUAAUUUUCUGUCUGUAUCCAACUAUAUAUCCAAUAUCAGCUGUUCUGAGCAGGCUUUGUUUGGCAAUUCAGGGCUCUUUUUCACCUUGGUCAAAGGAUGUAAAAACCUACUUUGGAUACCCUGAAAAAUAAAGUAACUUGUCAUUAUUCUUCUUUGGUGUCUUUGUUCUUCACAAAUAAUAGAAUAGUCUGCUUCUAAUCUGCAUUGAAUUUUUACAAUACAGGUAAAAGACUCCUGAAAAACAACCAGUGUGCAAGAUUUUAUCCAAAGCAAGGCAGUAAUCAGGGGAGGGUGACCCACGCUGGUUGUGUCCUGGGAGAGACUGCAUGGUACUUCUGAGCCAGAGCAGAGCACACAAGUACAUCAUUGCCAAGGAUUGAUUCCCGUUGGUUUCCUUCAAUUGCUUUAUGAAAUGGACAUAAGAACUGCAUGGAUGAGAAGAGAGAUGUUCUAUGUGAAAAAAAACCAUCAAAGGCAAGAAAGAAUUUCAUAUCUCUUUGAUGUCACUCAGCUUCAGGUACAGAGCGUUACAGCUUGCAGGAGUGCUAAUUAAAACUGAUAGUUAUUUCAUUUA